rnacentral:rRNA from 1 species
GACGAACGCUGGCGGCGUGCUUAACACAUGCAAGUCGAACGCUGAAGACCUGGCUUUUGUUGGGUUGGAUGAGUGGCGAACGGGUGAGUAACACGUGAGUAACCUGCCCUCUUCUUUGGGAUAACGCCCGGAAACGGGUGCUAAUACUGGAUAUUCACUGAUCUUCGCAUGGGGGUUGGUGGAAAGGUUUGUUCUGGUGGGGGAUGGGCUCGCGGCCUAUCAGCUUGUUGGUGGGCUGAUGGCCUACCAAGGCUGUGACGGGUAGCUGGCCUGGGAGGGUGACCGGUCACCUUGGGACUGGGCUACGGCCCAGACUCCUGCGGGAGGCAGCAGUGGGGAAUAUUGCACGAUGGGCGAAAGCCUGAUGCAGCGGCGACGCGUGAGGGAUGGAGGCCUUCGGGUUGUAAACCUCUUUCGCUCAUGGUCGAGCCGCAACUGUGGGUUGUGGUGAGGGUAGUGGGUAAAGAAGCGCCGGCUAACUACGUG